AACGAACGCUGGCGGCGCGCCUAAUACAUGCAAGUCGAGCGAGAAGACGUAGCAAUACGUUUGUAAAGCGGCGAACGGGUGAGGAAUACAUGGGUAACCUACCCUCGAGUGGGGAAUAACUAGCCGAAAGGUUAGCUAAUACCGCGUACGCUCCUUGGACUUCGGUUCAGGGAGGAAAGCGAUACCGUGGGUAUCGCGCUCUUGGAUGGGCUCAUGUCCUAUCAGCUUGUUGGUGAGGAACGGCUCACCAAGGCUUCGACGGGUAGCCGUCGU
rnacentral:rRNA from 1 species